UACGUAGGGGGCAAGCGUUGUCCGGAUUCAUUGGGCGUAAAGAGCGUGUAGGCGGCCCGGUAGGUCGGUUGUGAAAACUGGAGGCUCAACCUUCAGACGUCGACCGAAACCAUCUGGCUAGAGUCCGGGAGAGGAGAGUGGAAUUCCUGGUGUAGCGGUGAAAUGCGCAGAUAUCAGGAAGAACACCCGUGGCGAAAGCGGCUCUCUGGAACGGUACUGACGCUGAGACGCGAAAGCGUGGGGAGCGAACAGG
rnacentral:rRNA from 1 species